UCCGGGUUUCGCCCGGCAGUCUCCCUAGAAUAUUCAACACAACAUAGGGGUUGCGCUCGUUGCGGGACUUAACCCAACAUCUCACGACACGAGCUGACGACAACCAUGCACCACCUGUCACCGCUGCUCCGAAGAGAAACUCUAUCUCUAGAGCGGUCAGCGGGAUGUCAAGUCUUGGUAAGGUUCUUCGCGUUGCUUCGAAUUAAACCACAUGCUCCACUGCUUGUGCGGGCCCCCGUCAAUUCCUUUGAGUUUCAGUCUUGCGACCGUACUCCCCAGGCGGAGUGCUUAAUGCGUUAGCUUCGGCACUAAGGGGUGGGCCCCCUAACACCUAGCACUCAUCGUUUACGGCGUGGACUAC
rnacentral:misc_RNA from 1 species